rnacentral:rRNA from 1 species
UACAGAGGUCCCAAGCGUUGUUCGGAAUUACUGGGCGUAAAGGGCGCGUAGGCGGUUUUAUAAGUUACUGGUAAAAUCCCAAGGCUUAACCUUGGUUGGCCCGUAAGACUGUAAGACUAGAGGGUUGUAGGGGAAGUUGGAAUUCUCGGUGUAGCAGUGAAAUGCGUAGAUAUCGAGAGGAACAUCAGUGGCGAAGGCGAACUUCUUGACAAUUCCAGACGCUGAGGCGCGAAAGCCAAGGUAGCAAACGGG